AAGACACUAGUAAAAAUCGACCAUUACACCGCCUUGUCAAGGCGAAGUUGUGGGUUAAAGCCCCGCGUGUCUUA
rnacentral:tRNA from 1 species